UACGUAGGGUGCAAGCGUUGUCCGGAUUUAUUGGGCGUAAAGAGCUCGUAGGCGGUCUGUCGCGUCGGAUGUGAAAACCCAGGGCUCAACCCUGGGCCUGCAUUCGAUACGGGCAGACUAGAGUAUGGCAGGGGAGACUGGAAUUCCUGGUGUAGCGGUGAAAUGCGCAGAUAUCAGGAGGAACACCGGUGGCGAAGGCGGGUCUCUGGGCCGAUACUGACGCUGAGGAGCGAAAGCGUGGGGAGCAAACAGG
rnacentral:rRNA from 1 species